UUGUAACAUUUGGUGGUGUAGUUAAAGUAACAUUUUGUUCCCUCAAAUAUCAAUGACUAUUUGAGUCGAACUUAAGCAUGUGUUCUUUAGUUAUUAAACUACCUAAGCUAUUUAGUUGGUCCAAUGAGGGGCAUUGUAAAAGCAUGGUGACUGAUGUAAAUCACAUGUAGAAUCGAUUCAGACGUAACUCUUUCAGGCAUCUAAAAAUGGCGUUCUGGCAGAAGGGAGAGUGGUAAUCCUAGUGGCAGACUGCCCUGGAAUUCCCUGGUGAGUACAAUACUGCAGCUGUUUUAAAACGAAAACAGUGCUGAAAGCCAAAGUUCAAACAGUGAACAGGGACUACGUGCUGUAGCACAAGUGGUUUGUCUAAACUCUGUAUUUACUCUGUUGGAGACAGAUGUGUGUUUUACUUAUACACUGUAACCAAAUCAUUUUGCUUGACUUAAUAAAGUAAACUGCUGUUAAUGGCCAUGAUUUGUACACACACCCCUUAACAUAUACCCCUCAAAAAUACUUUUAUAACAGAGAAUGAAACAAGAUAAACAAUUCCUCACAAUUCAGCUUUUAUUCUUGAAGGGUUUUUUGUUAAUUUCUGUUGACUUUUCGGCUAUACCUUAAACAAACUGCACAUGGCUUCUUAAUAUUAUUAGAAAAGGUUAUACGUGUUCCUUAGUCAUAAUGUUUUAAGUGAUAAGUGGUGAGAAGUGAUUUGAUUAGAAUGUAAGUGAAAACAAUCUGACUGAGAACCAGCUUUUUUUGUUGGUGUAUUUAUUCAGGUGGGGUGAGUGCAGAUCUUGAGUAGAACAUAUUCAGAAUUACAUUCCUGGAUUCUUUAGGUUGAAUUAUAAGUCCUCACAAAACAUGUUCUUUUUUUUU